CAGUAGCCGCUAAUACGUAGGGUGCAAGCGUUAAUCGGAAUUACUGGGCGUAAAGCGUGCGCAGGCGGUUAUAUAAGACAGAUGUGAAAUCCCCGGGCUCAACCUGGGAACUGCAUUUGUGACUGUAUAGCUAGAGUACGGCAGAGGGGGAUGGAAUUCCGCGUGUAGCAGUGAAAUGCGUAGAUAUGCGGAGGAACACCGAUGGCGAAGGCAAUCCCCUGGGCCUGUACUGACGCUCAUGCACGAAAGCGUGGGGAGCAAACAGGAUUAGAUACCCGAGUAGUCCCUGUCUCUUAUACAC
rnacentral:rRNA from 1 species